rnacentral:tRNA from 2 species
GGGGAUGUGGCUCAACUGGUAGAGCACCGCCUUUGCAAGGCGGGGGUUGGGGGUUCGAGUCCGGUUAUCUCCA